UACGUAGGGGGCUAGCGUUGUCCGGAAUCAUUGGGCGUAAAGCGCGUGUAGGCGGCCCGGUAAGUCCGCUGUGAAAGUCGGGGGCUCAACCCUCGGAUGCCGGUGGAUACUGUCGGGCUUGAGUACGGAAGAGGCGAGUGGAAUUCCUGGUGUAGCGGUGAAAUGCGCAGAUAUCAGGAGGAACACCUAUUGCGAAGACAGCUCGCUGGGACGUGACUGACGCUGAGACGCGAAAGCGUGGGGAGCAAACAGG
rnacentral:rRNA from 1 species